UAGGGAAUAUUGCACAAUGGACGAAAGUCUGAUGCAGCAACGCCGCGUGUGCGAUGAAGGCCUUCGGGUUGUAAAGCACUUUUAUGUGGGAAGAGUAAGGACUGUACCACAUGAAUAAGGAUCGGCUAACUACGUGCCAGCAGCCGCGGUAACACGUAGGAUCCAAGCGUUAUCCGGAUUUACUGGGCGUAAAGCGUGUGUAGGUGGUUUGUUAAGUUGGGUGUUAAAUCUCUCGGCUCAACUGGGAGUU
rnacentral:rRNA from 1 species